rnacentral:tRNA from 2 species
CGGGGCGUAGCGCAGUUUGGGAGCGCACUUGAAUGGGGUUCAAGUGGUCGCUGGUUCAAAUCCAGUCGCCCCGA